rnacentral:rRNA from 1 species
UACGUAGGGCGCAAGCGUUGUCCGGAAUUAUUGGGCGUAAAGAGCUCGUAGGCGGUUUGUCGCGUCUGCUGUGAAAAACUCGGGGCUUAACCCCGGGCCUGCAGUGGGUACGGGCAGACUAGAGUGCGGUAGGGGAGACUGAAUUCCUGGUGUAGCGGUGAAAUGCGCAGAUAUCAGGAGGAACACCGGUGGCGAAGGCGGGUCUCUGGGCCGUAACUGACGCUGAGGAGCGAAAGCGUGGGGAGCGAACAGG